rnacentral:rRNA from 1 species
GACGAACGCUGGCGGCGUGCUUAACACAUGCAAGUCGAACGGUGACCCUCGGAGCUUGCUUCGGGGUGAGCAGUGGCGAACGGGUGAGUAACACGUGAGUAACCUGCCCCUGACUCUGGAAUAAGCGCUGGAAACGGCGUCUAAUACCGGAUACGACACGCCUCCGCAUGGGGAGCGUGUGGAAAGUUUUUCGGUCUGGGAUGGGCUCGCGGCCUAUCAGCUUGUUGGUGAGGUAAUGGCUCACCAAGGCGAUGACGGGUAGCCGGCCUGGGAGGGCGACCGGCCACACUGGGACUGAGACACGGCCCAGACUCCUACGGGAGGCAGCAGUGGGGAAUAUUGCACAAUGGGCGAAAGCCUGAUGCAGCGACGCCGCGUGAGGGAUGACGGCCUUCGGGUUGUAGACCUCUUUCAGCAGGGAAGAAGCGAAAGUGACGGUACCUGCAGAAGAAGCACCGGCUAACUACGUGCCAGCCGCCGCCGUAA